CAAUAGCGUAUAUUAAAGUUGUUGCAGUUAAAAGCUCGUAGUUGGAUUUCUGGCGAUUGGGGUGGUCCACCGCAAGGUGAGCACUGUUCCCGGCCGCCAUCCUCUCGAGGGCUUGUGGUGCCAUUAACUUGGUGCUGCAGGAGCUCGGGACCUUUACUUUGAAAAAUUAGAGUGUUCAAAGCAGGCCUACGCUUGAAUACAUUAGCAUGGAAUAAUAGAAUAGGACUUUGGUUCUAUUUUGUUGGUUUCUAGGACCGAAGUAAUGAUUAAUAGGGACAGUUGGGGGCAUUAGUAUUUAAUUGUCAGAGGUGAAAUUCUUGGAUUUAUGAAAGACUAACUACUGCGAAAGCAUUUGCCAAGGAUGUUUUCAUUAAUCAAGAACGAAAGUUAGGGGAUCGAAGAUGAUCAGAUACCA
rnacentral:rRNA from 1 species